rnacentral:sRNA from 1 species
AUUUAGCCCGGAUUGAAGCGGCAUCCUUUUUCUUUUUUUUACAAAAAAGAAAAAGAUAUAGCGGAAAGCCGGUACCAAU